CUGUCUGUUGUGGCUUUGGUUUCCCAGUCUCGUUCAGUGUUUUCGUCUUGCUAUUUUCAGCUCAUGGUGUUUUGGAUUACCUGUUCUGGAUAUUUUUUUUUGUUACUCAUUUGGAUUUUUCUGGACUCAGCCACUCAGUCUAGCAUCCUGGGCUCGUUUCCUCACUCAGAUGGCUUAGAGGCAACGAAAACCUGAAAGGACCAGCUGGACCCUCACAAGCUCAAUGUGCUCAUAGUGUGGAAUCAGAUGUCCCACCUGGUGCCAGACAGCUUCAGAGACCUGGAAAGCAUCCUCAGUGUGCUGGACAUCUGUAUCUGAUAGCAUGGACUGACGUGGAAAGGACUUCUCCCCUUCUGUUUACUUUUACAUUUAGUUUUAAUGUUGUCCUUGUGUUAUGCACAUUUAAGAAAUCUAUAAAUUUGGUUUGCAUUGCAAUAAAUUCUCAA